rnacentral:tRNA from 1 species
UGGUGCAGUCGGUACAGCGCUUGAUUUUCAUCCGUGAGGUCAUCGGAUCGAGUCCCAGCUUUC